AGUGGCUGCGGGGCCUGCCGGACAGCCGGAACCAGCACAUGAGAUGUGAUGUUGGUGUGCAGUGAGGAUUUGCCAGCAGACUGCUUUGAAGUGCUCAGGAACCAGAAUCAUCUCCUUCCCUGGAUGCAGGUGGGAGGGUGGGAUGUGUAAAUGGGUCAGUACACUUCUUGCUCCCUGGGCUGAGAAUUUUUCCUUUGUGUCAUCUCCCCUGGAGUACUCCACAUUCUUAAAGUAAUAUUUUUAGGAAGAAAUUAUAAAUAACCUGUUUUAAAUUAUUAUUUUAAAAUUAAAAUUUUUAGGAAGAAAUUAUAAACCUUUUGUACAUUCAUGUCAGGUAGUCCCACCUGAAGCCACUUUCAGCAGGCACAGCAUUGUAGAAAUGUGCAGUUUAGACCAUAAAAGAGUACAGUCUUUCGUACUCAUUUUUGAGAAACUUUUUUGUAAGUUUAUUUUGUCUGGAAUAGUUCUCUGAGGUCCCUUCCAGUUAAUUUUCCUGUCUCUGAUAUCCGUGGAUGGAGAUAAUAAUUUGAUUUUGUGGUAUCUUUUGUAUAAUCACAAGGUCAUGGCCAUGCUUCUGUUUAACUGUAAAUAUUUUUGAAAUUAGAAUUGCUCCUGACAGAGAGGAGGAUGCCUGAGGCAAUACAGGCUUAAAUGUGGAAUUCAGGAUUCAGAGCACCUGUGAGUAAACUAAAGGGACACUCACUCCAGGUGCAGUCACAAGCUGCAGGCAGAAGUGAUGCCCAGGGAGGUACAUUGUCAGGCACAGACACAACCCUAACCUUUUCCUCUGCAUCAUAAAUAGUGACAGCAGAAGUAUUUUUCAUAAUUUUAAUGGAAAGAUAAAUUAAUCCUUUAAAAACAUAAUGAAAUAUCUUCAACUGUAUCCAGUGCUUGCUUUCCUGGCAAAGCUUGGAAUGGUUUUUGAAGGGGAAUCUUUUACUUAUGUAUACCCACGUCAGCCUGUGUUUGGGGACUCUCUUUGCUGGUGACUUUAGAUAUUUCUUUUCUUGUUGGUUUCAGUCUUGUUACUGCUCUUUUAUUUUGACUCCUGACUUUAAGCAGCUAUUAUUUAAUUGCACAUACCUCCAUUCACAGCACUCCUGUGAUGCCAUCCAGUUACUGCUCCCUGGGCCUUCUUCUGCACUGGUGUCACCAGGCUCACUUGUGCUGGGCUCAAGCCUCCAUCCUUUCCUCUGGACUCUCCACUUGUGCACAUGUUUCUUGUGACACCACCACUCAUCCCUAACCUUCCAACAUUUAUGUUCCUUUUUUUACCUUCCUGGCACAGGCUUCACCUUCUCCAUCUACAAAUAUCCUUGGGUAUCCCCAGCCAUGUGUAUCUCCAGGAUGAAGAUUCACAGAUCUCCCUACUCCUGGUCUCACCCUGCAGCUGUACUCCAAAUCCCUCUGCUUCCAACACUGAGUGUGUACUUAAUGGGUACACACUCAGAAAGGAGAUACUGAUUUUUUUCUCUGCCAUGCCACAUCCCAUGUUGUGUGCCAGAUCCAUGUUCUUCCUGGGUGGUGUCUUUCAUGCAAAAUUCAACAUUCACUCCAUCCACUGCUUUACAAUCCUCAGUCCUCACACAUCUCACCUCCUGUAGCCUCCUUCUUGAACGUCCUUCAUGUCUUCAGUGGACUUUGUCUCGUGGGAGAGAAAACAACCUUAAUCACGACUUCUGGCCACCAGGAACACCCCUGCCAUCCACCUCGUUCGUUCCAAGUUCUAUUCUGCUUUUUUUACCCUGUGUUUACCUUUGACAGCUGCAGUGGCUGCUUAUCAUCGCCCCUGUCCUCCUCACCUCCUGUUCCUUUGACAGUCCAACAGUUCUCCUCAGCUGUCUCGUCUUCAGGCAUGGACAUGGUUUCCUUUUCAUUUGUCCUGGCUGACACCCUCAUUUUUUCCUGCCCCAUUGGAAACUCACACAACACUUGCUGAGCAAACCUGUUCUGAUUUCCAGUGGCUAUGGGAGGGGUUCCAGGCCAGGAGGCUGUGGGAGCUCCCUGGCUGCCCAGUGUCAGCUUUCAGGCUCGGUGGAACCCAAGUGGGGCAUUCACAGCUGCAUUGUGAGCACCGGCCCCUGGCUUUUUCAUGAUGAUGUGAUUUUCAGUCCCUCUUUGCUGUCUUGGCAACCUGAGGUCAAAGAACAUAGAUGCUUCACUGUGUGGCAGCGUCUGCUUUGGGUUUGUGGUAAAUGAGGUAGAAAAAGAUGUAGUUUUAAUCACCUAGAGGUAAUGCAGACAGUUGCAGAGAAGUACAUGAACUAACCCAAACUUCCUUUUAACUCUUUUAACCUUUUAACUGUUUGGUUUCAUGUACGUUUUCUUAGGGGAGAUUUUUGGAAUGGCUAUAGAAGAAAAUAUUGGAUUAAACUUAGAAUCAGCUGAAACCAUUUCCAUAGCCAAGGGCAGCUGCCUCGGCCAAAGGCUUGGAGCAGGGAAUUGUUCUCACUCCUGUUCUUAAACUGUAAGAGCUCACAUGAAGCUGAUGUGCUGUUGGCCUUGUGCCUGUCCCAGAGUAAUCUAUGACCUGGGAUCACACAGACCUUGGAAAUAAGAGAUAAAAAUCAUCCAGUAUCUAUGGACAUAAUCACAGAUGUUUUCAUUUUUUUGUUUCUAGUUUUUCCCUUUUUAGAGUCAAAAUUAAUAUAAUGAAUUUUUUGAAUGGUUUAAUUUCUGAUUGAUAAAUCAAUACAGAUAUUGUUUUAUAGUCAAAAUAUUGUUUUUAUUCUACUAAAAUUUUACUCACCAAAAUAAAAACCAGUUCUUUUAGCCUCUGAGGCUGAAAGGAACCACAUGUUGGUGGUUAGUGUUGAGUUGGCAGUGCUGGGUUAAUGGUCUUAGAGGUCUCUUGCAACCUAAAUGAUUCUGUGAUUCUAUUAAAUUUAUCUUUUUUACUUGAAAAUAAUUCUAUGGUUUACCUAGUGGGGUCUGUCCUAUAAAUACACAAAUGAUUUUAUCAUUAUGUGUCUAACAAAUCAAGCCUGUGUUUUGGUUUCAGGACUGUCUAAACCAUUUGCAUGUUGUAAAUAUGGGCUGCAGUCUUUAAAUCUGGGCUGUCUCUAAAAACAUCAGAACCAUCCCGACACCCCCUCAGUCUCUAGAUGAAAACUUAGUGUAUUGAACACAGAAGCUUUAUGGGGCUUGGUUUAAAUCAGUCUAAGUGCUUAUAUUUUAAAACGUUUUUCACCAUUAUUCUGUUUUGUCCUUUGCCCCUAGCCCUUCCUGUGUUCUCCAAAGAAGAGAUGCAAAUUAAAAUCCUAUGAAACAAUACACUCCAAGUUUGACCUUAUUCACCAGCUACAGAAGAUCCACUUGCACAUGUUUUGACACACAUGGAUUUGUUUGUCACUGGAGUCAGAGCUGUGUGGUUUUAGGCUCAAUAAAUGUAUCAGCAAACCAUUUGGGAACCUAAACACACCAGGUGAACCAGCAGUGUUUUACUGGGCAAUGUCACUGGGAUAGGGACCUUGAGCAUCCCAUUGUCCUAUGGGUUUGAUGAGGUGGCUGAGGGACACAGAGCACAAGCCUGCCUUGUUUCCAGGUGGGAUUUGCCUUCCCAGAGGGCUGCCAGGAGGAGAGGGAGCAGGCAGCUGGAGCUGGCCUGGAGGUUUGUGUGGGAAGUUGGAGGGAUUUGCUGUGCUUUGGCAGCUGCUGCCAAAGGUUGUGAGGAAUUAACAUGAGUUACUCCAAGAACUGGUAGUUCUGUUAUACUGAAAUACUAGUUAUUCCCGAUUUACCUGCUGAUCUCCCCAGCUGGAUUCAUUGUUCCUCUUUCCUCAAACUCAGUUGUGUUCUCUCUAUGUUGGAAGCCAAUCUUGGAAUAACUCACCAGAAAACUUGUUGAAUCCCUGUUCUCAAGGGAUUCAAUAGUUCUAGUACUGAGCCUUUUUUAUUUUUGUGUUUAAGUGUCAGUUCCAUAUUGUUUCUUUUGGUUUUCUUUGCAAAAGUGCCUCAUGAAGGUGUUACAGCACACCAGCACUGCUGCCUCUUCACAGGUCCUGUUCCAGUCAGAGCACUGAGGUUACACAAAUCCACAUUGAUUACUACUAAUGGUAUUUUUACAGAAUUCUUGUGUAGCUCUCACUUUGUUCAGUGGCCUUUUGAAGCCUUGACUGUCCUUGUCCCGUGUGACCUUUUAGAAGGAUCUGCCAGCUUGUUUUGCUGCAGCACUCUGGGACUGCUCCAGCUGUCUGUUUCUGGAAAAUGAGCAUUACUACUCCAGGAAGCUGAAUGCCUGAUUCGAUGUGGAACUUCUCCAGUGAUGUUGAGCAUGCUGUCAUGCCCAGAGGUGCAUUGGCUGUUGUCCUAGCAAGGAAUGGAGCCCCCAGUACUGCCCUAAAAUGCUUCCAGCCUUGCAAGAGAGGUGUGGGAUACUGAGAAACCAGGCAUCCUGGCUCCAGAAGAGCAGCUGCAAGCUGCAGCUUCUUCCUGCCAGCAUCUGACAGACUUUUCACAACCUCAGGCCAGGCUGUCAUUGCCUCAGGAUGCGUUUCUGGUCUCCUGCCUAAACCUCCCUCAUGGCAGUGUCAGUCCACUGCUUCAUUCCAUGUCUCCUGUGCAUGUGGGAAAGAUUUAUUCUCCUUUUAUAGAAUCUGUAAGGUUGGAAAAAAACACUAAGAUCAUU